ACGAUAACUUUUGAGUGUGGAAUCACCACAUGUUGUCAUGUCAGCACUUAACGUGCCACUUGAUCAACUCUAUUAACAUUAACAAACGGGUGAAGAAUGAAGGGCUGAUGUGGUUCUGUUUUGAAAACAACUUGGACCAAAAUGGUGAUUUAUAUUUAUUAGGAAUUAAGUUAGUAACAUAAAGAAUUCAUGGACUUAAAUGAGAGUUAUAUUCAUUUUUAUAUAUAAUUAAACUUAAAUUUUAUAGAUGAUUAUACUUACUAGAACAAUGGUUCCAC
rnacentral:lncRNA from 1 species